GGGCGUGUGGUGUAGUGGUAUCACGCCUGAUUUGCAAGCCCCUUGGGUGCUAUGCGUUCAGGCGGUCCAGGGUUCGAUCCCCUGCGCGUCCA